GGCCCUCCAAAAGGAGUCAUGGAAUGACUGUUAAAAUUAACUGCUGAUCCCUUUAUUGCCGGUGACUGUGUUGCUUGGCUGGAGUCUGACCCGUAAUGGCUGACGUGGGAACUAAUAGGUUCUGGAGUGUUAUCAGUCCUGUAUUUCAUGGCUGGACCUUUAUCUUCUUUGCUUUUAAUGCACCCCAUGGUUGCUUCUGCCCGUCCUCGGCGGCGCGGGUGGGAGAAGGAGGGGGAGAGGGAAGGAAGCGGGGCCCCCCCCGCUCCUCCCGGAGCCGCGGCGACCCGGGGAGGGAAGGGGGGGAGGAGGGGAAGGGAGGAGGGAAGAGGAGCAGGAGGAGGGAGCCGGGCGCUCCGGUGCGUGCGAGGAGCCGGAGCCUGGCGGCGGGAGGAGGAGACUCCCCGCCCCUACGGCCGGGCUCUCCGGCGGGCACCUCCGGCCCCUCCUCCGCAGCGCUCCGCCUCGCCCCCGCUGCCCGCGGGCGCCCGGGUGAGGCGCGACACGAAGCUCCCCGCCCGAUCAGAGGCCGCGGGGAGGAGCCGGGCGGACCCCUCCUCGGCGGCGCCGCGCACCGAACCAACAUGGUGGCGGCAGCGGCAGCGCGGGGUGGAGGGGAGGCGAGGGGCAGCUCCCGAUCGGGGCCUUUCGGGGAGGGUUGCGCAGAGCCCGGCUGCCGCCUUCUUGCUUGACGCCGGUCAGGUGUGUGGCUUCAGCUCUGAGCUCUUCCGCCUGCCGUGGGAAAGGUGUGGAGAAAUUACUCUUCAACCACGCAGCCGGGGAUGUCCAGGCUUGGUGUGUUAUGGAUUUGAGUCAGACAGGUACAUCCCGUUGGUCUCAGUGCCAGAGGUCAGCGUCGCGUGUUUGAAAAAGAAAAGUUGGGUUUGUGUCAAGAUGGGCUUCAAGAUGAAGGUCCUUCAAAUGCAGUUAUAGUCUUCUGAGGUCAUCUUUCAGAAGUCAGGCCAAGUAAUCAAGAUAUCCAGGCUGAUCACCUGACCUUGGGCAUCUGAGGUUGCAUAUUAGGAAAUUUUUCUGCUCAGAAGGAGUGGUGAGGCAUUGGAACGGGCUGCCCAGGCAGGUGGUGGAGUCCCUGCAGGUGUUUGAGAAACGUCUAAAGGUGGCAAUGAGUGACAUGGUUAGCUGACAUGGUGGGGAUGGGUUGACGGAUAGAUGUUCUUAGUGGUCUUUUCUAGCCUUAAUGGUUCUGAGUGACUGCAGGAAGAACUGAGAGAAAAACACCCCAAGGAACCCAGAUUAUUAAAGUUUACACAGUCGGAUUGGUGGCCGUCAUUCAGAAUUAGCUUAGUUUUCAGCUCGUUAAUAGCUAGAUUUAUGUCUCCUGCACCUUUAUUUGGUGUGAAGGCUGACUGGUAAUUGUAGUGGUCCACAAUGAGAAUCUAAUACAAUGUAUACUUAAUCUUUAAAACAAUCAAGAAGGAGGUCCCAUUUCUAGGCAAUGAUGGAGAGUAAAACCAUUUGUCUUUUUGCUGUAGUCAAAUACAAGUAUUUGCUUUUACAAGACCAUAAAUACAGUAGGCAGUUACCAGAAGAUUAUAUAUAUAUUUUAUAUAUAUAUAAAAUAAUAACACAGAAGUGUUUCAGGUUGUGAUGCUCCUUACCAUAAAUCAUACUCAUGUAACCCUGUUAGAAUGGUGGAGUUAAUCAUUUUCCUGUCCUGUUAGGAGCCUAAAUCACAUUAUUACAGAAUUGAUUUUUAAUUUAGAAAUCAACAACAAGUUUUACGAAUUGAGGUGAGUGAUGAAUUAUUUAACCAAGGAGCAGUCAGAGCUCUGGGUCUGCUCACUGCUUCCCAGCACAGUCUGGCCUUGCAGCAGUCCUCUAAACCUACAGGGCUGACCUCCAGUAUUGCUUGUGUUUUCCUUCCCUGUAUGUGGGUAAACACUGUUGGGCAGUGAAGUUUACAGCAGAACAGUAAAACUUGGGUAUCUGUGAGCCUUAAGCAUAUUAUUAUAAUUGUGUUUCAAGGAUACUCAUUUUUUCUUUAAGAAAUGUAGCAGCUUUGGGCUAAAGCUGUAUGGUUAGAGGCAUACUGGCUCUUGCCUGUUGUCAGUGUAACUCAGUGCCCAGGUUUUAGGCCUGAAGUGGAUGGGAUUUUUCUUGGCAUCUGGCUGUACCCACGUGAUACCAAAAGGUUCCUUGGGAUUCUCGGUCCAUUCUACCUCUCUGAUUGGUUUCUAUUCCAAGGACCAAUACAGGGAGCGUGUUGGACUUCUGAAAAACCCAGCAGUUAUCUGCAGGCUUCUCUUGCUCUUGUCUGUGCAUUUAUGUUAUUGGCUGUCCAGAUGUACCACCACAUAUAGUACUAAGGCUGCACUGGUGAUCAAAUUCUGUUGAUAGUGAAUCACAGAAUCGUAGGGGUUGGAAGGGAAGUCUAGAGAUCAUCUAUUCCAACCCCUCUGCUAAAGCAGGUUCCCUAGAGUAGAUGAUUACACAGGAAAGGAUCCAACUGGGUCUUGAAUACCUCCAGAGAAGGAGACUCUACAACCUCUUUGGGCAGCUUUGUUCCCUCACACUAAAGAAAUUCCCCCUGUUCACACGGAACUUCUUGCGUUCCAGUUUGUGCCUGUUGCCCCUUGUUCUGGAGGGAGUGGCAUGCUUAAUUUCAAGCCCCAUAUGAUUAAAAUAGUACAUCAGUUUGGGAGAAGAUGCUAGCUGGCAACAAUCUCAGCCCCACACCACAUCACAUGGAUGGGAAAGAAUGGAUUAGGGCCUGGAGUUGUGGAGGCCAGGCAUCCUUUCAUUGCAGUGGAAAAACUGGCCACUUCUUAAAUUGUCUUGCACUUGUUCCUGACAGUCUCAGCCUUCCUUGUUUUUAUAAGGCCAUGUCAAACAGGUGAUAUAAACCUAACAAGCUGCUGGUCGCUCACUCCCUUUAUUUCUGUGCUGAAGAGGGCAUGGGAUUGUCAUUGCCACCUUCUGCCUGUGAGUCAGCCUGCAGCCUGUCUCCACAUUUCACCUAGGUAAAGCCCUGUUAUGCUUCUACUCUGCUGCUAUUGAGUGGGCUCUGAAAUCUGCUGCAGUGCUAUAUGUGCCAUAAGCUAUAAAGGUUAGGCUUAGCCCCUUACUGUUCAUUCAAGGGAGCAGCUGUAGCUGGCACCAAUCUCAGCUUAGAGUCAGCUAAGGGCAGUGUCUGCUUUUAGGAAUUUCACCGCCUUUUUAUUAUUCUGGUUUAAAUUAAUGUUUUUGACUUUGCACAGGACAAGGAAGGAGGAGCUGCACUCAUCUGCUGUAGCAUGUGUGGAAUACAGUGUGAGAUGCUGCUGCUGUGGUUUGCUGCUACCAGGUGCUGGGUACCAUUUCAUGACCAGUGCUUCAGGCAGGCUCAGCCUCUGUGAACUCCUCAGCUGUGCUGCGUUUCUGGUUUUCCAGGAAAAAUGCUGCUGUUAAGGUUGGGAUUAACAUAAUCACAAAGAUUAUGUGUAAUAUCCUAAAUGUAGACUGUGAAAAUUGUUACGUAUUUGAAUUGAUUCCUAAAGAAGGUGAUCAUUUAUAUUUAUGCAGUUCUAAAUGCACUUUUGGUUUUGGUUCAAAUUACCCAGUGAUUGGUAGGAUAAAGAACUUACUACGCCAAAGGAAGUAUUUUUAGUGGGAACACGGGUAUAAGAGCAGAAAGAAGGAAGGAACAGGAAUAGAGGUGUAGGAGAGCAGUCUGGGAUAUUUCAGGCACUGAUGUGGGUGCACAGAUUUGUGAUUGAGGAACACAGGACUUGUAUUCUGAGACUUGAGAAAAGCAGGACUUGUGUCCUGAGAUUUUGCAAGGAGGUGGGCAGGGCUUUUCUGAAGCACUUUAACAGUGUGUGCUGAUGGUUAAUGUAUGGUACGCAUUGUAGGCAUGUAGAAACUUGGAAACACUGAGACAUUCUUGAAAAUAAUUGGUGGGAUUGUUUUCCAGUAAAUCAGAAUAGCUCAUAGCCCUCUGCAAACAACUUUUAAAAGAUACCUUUACCUACAUUCAUCCUUUCAUUUUGAGAAAUAAGUGGUAGGCAGGUCCUCAUCUUAUUUUCAGAAGUGUGGAAAAUAUCGGCCUAUUAUAGAAGCAUCUUCCAAAAUUCAUGGGCUAAGUUCCCUUUGCUUAUUGUACUGUGUGAUGAAAUUGUAAAAAGCAGUUCUUCUUGGAAUGGGCUAGUGUUUGUUACAUGCUUAUUUUUAAGUGCUUUGAUAAAUAUUGUUCUUUUGUCAUGUUAAUUUCUUUGAGUGAAGCUAUUAAUAAAAUCACUGAUUUUUAGAAGUCAAACAUUUUACUUGGGUAUAAUGCAAGUUAUGUAUGAAUCCAGUAGUUCAGUGAAGAAGCAGUGUAAAGUCACGGGAUGGUGGAUCUGUUAUUUUUUCUUAUUCUGAAGCAAGAAUUCUAUUUAAACAUUACGUUACGCUUCUAUAGGUUUUCUUCAGAAAUGCCCUAUUUUGCCAUAAAAUCAUUCGACUCCUCCAAAUGGCCAGGGUCCGUGUGUUUGGUACUCACUUCUAUCUGAAAGAUUAAGUAUUCCAUUCUUACUCAAAUGCAAAUAGCGUUUCCCUGUGAUCUUGUGAAACAUGACUAACUACUUGCACAUGUUAUACUUUCAGCACGUGUGUGGAGGCUUAAAAAGAAAGACCACACGACACUGAUUCAAACAUUAUUUAGGAAAUCAUUUAAAGUUACUUCUGAAUGCAUGUUAUACUCUAUCUUGGAAAAUGCCACGCUUCUAAACCUGUUGCUAUUUACAUUUGUGUCACAUCCACUUAUAUCAGACACGCUGGAUUACAUUGUAUAAUGAAAGCCGUAUUGCUGUACUCUAAUCUUUAUCUCUUUAUAUCCGAUCUACUUUGAAUUGCACAUGAGUAUUGUUUAUGGUUACUUAAAAUAACUACUGCUUUUAUUUCAAGGGCAGUGUUAUGUAUGGUGAACACUUAACACGCAGCCCUACUUUGGCAGCAGCUACAGAUCCUGUAUCCUUGGUUCCUGCAUGAAAGCAGCAGAGAUCCAGAUCUUUCAUUUAAGUUUCACAUUUGAAAAAUCUGAAGCCUGUGCAAUUGUAGAUGUGAAGAAAAAUGUAAUGCAUUUCUUGAACCACUGUUCUCUUCUGAGGGAUUUGGAACUUAUACUCUUCCUCACAGAGCAGGUCGUGCACUGUUGCUCAGAAGGGAAAGGAACAAACAGCAAGAGAAAAAGAAAUACGUGUUAAAGCUGACCUGAACUACUUUUGGUAUUGACAUCAGUGCUUGAGUCGUUCAGAGCCUUUAAGAGUCUUCUCACUUCACUUACCAGCCUGUGUAAUGGAACAGUUUCUGCUGACUUUGGGAGAUUUGCACAUCUACGUAUUGGUUAUACUUACUAAGUUAUUGUUGUACAUUGUGCUGACUGCCUAAGAUAGUACUGUGGAAGAAACUCUUAAUAUCAUGAGAUGCAAAAUCCAAGUGAAUACAACAUUUAGACAGAGCUCUUAGGGGAUUCCACUCCAAAUUCAGUUAUUUCCCAGCACACACUGACUUUUAGCUGUUGAAUAUACAUGCUAUUCACAGAGCUUUUAUAUGUGACUUCAUAAGUGAAGUGGAGGAGGCAUAGCAAUUAUGCGCAUUGUCUUAUUAUAGUCCUUUGGACUAGCUUUCUUAAGGAGCCUUUCCCCCACCAUCCCAUCAUCCUUGCUGUAUUCCUGUUUUCUCCUCCUCCUCAUGGCUGGCUGGUACUUCCUCUGCUCUUAGCGUGGUCCAUUCUUGUGACCUCCCGCCCGACUGAAGAUGGACAACUUCUUCAGGCCUGUGCCAAUGCCCUUUGUUGUGCGUUAAUCCCUGAUAGAUCUGAAUUUCCCAUGCUAGGUUGUUAUUAUGGCCCUAGUGUUUUGAGGAUAAUUGCCUGGGCACCAGAAAGCCUUCCCUCCUCAUUUAGAUGAAUGUGUUGAUGUUUAUUAAUUUGGGAAUAGUUCCAGGAACAAAAUCAUUCCACAGUCUAGGAUGCCAGACAAAUCCUUAGAGCGGAGCUUUGAUCAGGAUGGGGCUGCUCACUGUCAUGUUCAGCAUUACAGGUGAACACAAACAUUGUGUACCAUCUAGAGAUCUCAGAAAAUUGGGCAGCUGUCAGAUGCAUUGUUUCUUUUCUUGGCAAGCCCUGCAUCUUUGUUGUUUAUCCUCCCUCUUCUGUUCCUUCAGCUGGAGGUUGCAGUCCCCUCAGGUCUGUCAGCAUAACUACAACUAUCAUUUUUUUCCUGUACUUUUACAGUUCUGCCAACAUGAUCACAGCCAGUUUGAGUCUCCUAACAGUUUUCUAAAAGCUGAGAUUUGGUUGGUACAACUUUGCUAAGGAAUGGCAGUGCUCACUGCUAUGAGGAAAGAGGUUACCACAUGUGGAGGAGACUGUCACCUUACUUGACCUCAGCUGCAGCCAGAACUUCCUGAAUUUUCCUACAAUUCAGAAUUUAGAAAACCCCAGUGUGAUUACAGUUAUAUACAAGAGACAGCAGUGGUGGGAAGGAGGGAGAAAACAAUGGCUAUGAUUUCCUGAUGUGUGUCUCUUGGCCCUGCAUGGAUCUUUUCUAGCCUUGCUUCAGAUAAAUACCCCUUUGUUCCUUUCUUCCUACCUGCUCAGCUCCACUGAAGCAGCUGCAGCCUUUUUUUUUUCUUCCCUAAGGGUGAACAGAGCGUCAGGACUGAGCCAGCCCAGGUAACAAAAGCUGGAGAAGAGGCACUUGUGGAAAACUCGCUGUUAAAAUAUGAACAACAGCAACAACAAAAAACACGCCACAGUAAGAGGUGGAAGAAGCCUGGAUUUACUGAAAGCAGCCUUGCCACUAGAUAAUGCUUUUUAAUAUUACUAGUAAGAGUUCUUCGACUUCUUCAACUUCUUUUGCUGAGGUUGUUCUUGGCAAUCAUCUGCUUCACUGCUGGGACACUUGCACUGUGAAAUCUGCUGUUCUCUCAUGUUAAGAGAAAGUAACUUUGCCAGCGAAUCUACAGAGAAGCACCUCGACCUCCAGACUGGGAGCAGUCAUUUGAGAUUUAGCAAGUCUCAUGCUGAUGUCAAGGAUAUGCCUUUUGCGGUAUCUCUUAAUAAUACACCCACAUCUGACCUGGUGGUGAGUAAGUCUCUGCACAGCCUCACUUUGCAUGUAGGGGCUUAGCUCAUCUAAGCUGAGUUCUCCCCAAACUAUCUGCAUAUCCUCCCACAAGCCCUGCUUGCCAAGCAGCCUGGAGAUGCUCUGCUCCAAGGCUUCAAAGGCGAAGCCAGCAUUUCUUUGCAAUUAGGUAGAAAUGUACAGCUGGGAUGGACCUCCCACUGUGCAGCAAUCAUUGUGGGAAAGUAUCAGUUGCCUUUCCCUUCUCCACGCCUGGCUUAAAAAGAACAGAAAAGUACAAGAAUAAAUAAAUGAGGAAGACUCUGCUUCCAUGUUGCUCUUCUCUAGUUCUGCAGGCUGCUGCUUUGUCCUGCUCUAUCAUUAGCACACUUCUUGAAGAGCUGGCUCUCAAGUGGGGAAACAAGCGGAGCAAAACCCAGCCUGAGCCCCCUGCACAAGUGUUUAUGCUGGGGAUACAUCAUAGCUUUUUGGAACUUCUAAUGUUUGUAUUCUUCAAAAGGCAGGAAAAAACUGCUACGUUCAGCAGAAAACUCUCUAUAUUCCAUGAACUUAGAACUGAAACUAUAAAAAUGCCAAAUAUUAAUUUUUUGUUGUUGUUGUUGUUUUGAAUGGAGAGCUUGUAUCAACAUGUGUUUCUCUGAAUUUUGAGUUACUCUUAAAAAGAUGGAGCUGACACGUACUCCUUCAUUUACCUUAAGCACAUAGUUAAUUGAUCCUUUUGGUUUGGAGAACUGCAAAACUGUGAUGGGAAUACACAAAUCUUCAAUUUUUUAAAAAAUAGUAUCUUACUUCACUAUUUCCUUUUAGUCUCUACAUUUCUUUAAAUAGUCUAUAGCAGCCAAAUAAUAUCAUGCAAGAGAUAUUUCAUUGCUCAUAGAAUAAACUGUAAUUGUGCAAUAAAAGAAUGCAUUUGUCAUUCUCAUAAUGGGACAAAAUUAAUUACUUGGAGACAAAUCCAGCUAAAGAAAAUAAGAGAAAUACUAAAUCAAAAAUACGUAACAUUAAAGGUUACAUUAAUGUUGCUUCCUUCUACUUGUUUUUCCUUUCACUUUUGGUUAAAAAGGGAUUUUCCAAAGCACAGGAAUUUGCUCAUUCUAUUCCUAGUUCUUUGAAAACAGAGUGUAUGAAAAUCAGACUGACUGUUCCACCCUGAAUCAUAUUGUUUGCUUUUGUUUUCUAAUUGGGAAGAAUAAUAAAACAUGGAAAGCUCAAAAAUAUUUGGGUUUUGAAAUGUGGUCUUGGGGCAUCUUUGAUGGAUCAUCCUAACACAGCUAGAAGGGACUCUAUUGUUCUUUAUGGAAAAUAUAAUCCAUCCAGGGACCCCAGAUGACAGGGGAAAUGAGGGGCCUAAACCAUGACAAACUCCUGAUGAGUAAUGACAAACCAUCCUGAAGCAAAACAUUUUGAUUUGCUUGGACGGUUCAAAACAUUUUGGAUUCUCUUUUAUUUUCCCACAGGGACAUUACGUUGUUUUGGCACAACCAACUUUUUCCUGUGGAAAAAAAAAAUAUUGCAGAAACCACUUUUCUACUAAAAAACAUGGACAGAAAUCCCUGGAUCAGCAGUAAAGAGAAGAUGUCAAACCAGAACCAAGCACAUUUGAAAAUAUUCUCCCCAGAGAACAUUAAGAAUACUCCAACCUGGCAGUGAGAAUUUUAUAUCAUCUCCAUAUUUUACACUAGUAUAAAGGUAAAUAUAUUUCAUAGACAGUGAACGUAACGUGAUGAAAUCCAUGUGGCAUGGCUUGAUACGUUUCAACACAUUUAAAAUAUGAUGUUUCACUGAGGCCUUCAAAAGCUGUUUCUUUCAAAAAAGUCGAAGUCUUGUGGAAAACUUAGGCCUUUGAAAUGAAAAACUACACUUGAGAUUUCACAACUGUGAACUUGUUAAAAAACUGACCAGUGCUUUUGAAAAAAAAAAUAACAUUCUACAAAGCAGAGGGUUUAAGCACUUUCCCUAUGGGGACAAGCUGAGUGAAUUGGGGCUCUUCAGCCUGGAGAAGGGUCCAGAAGGACCUUCUAGCGGCCUUCCAAUAUCUGAAGGGGGCCUACAGGAAAGCUGGAAAAGCACUUUUUGUAAGGUAUGUAGCAAUAGGGUGAGGGGAAAUGGCUUUAAACUGGAAGAGGGUAGGUUUAGAGUAGAUAUAAGGAAGAAAUUCUUUACUGUGAGAGUGGUGAGACACUGAAACAGGUUACCCAGUGAGGUUGUGGAUGCCCCCUUACUGGAAACAUUCAAGGCCAGGCUGGAUGGGGCUGUGAGCAACCUGGUCUACAGGGAGGUGUCCCUGCCUAUAGCAGGGGGUUGGAACCAGGUGAUCUUAAAUGUUCCUUCCAAUACAAACCAUUCUAUGAUGUUUCUAUGAAGUUUUUAGAAAAAUUCUUUGUUAUUUGUUACUCAGAAUCAUAUUGCUACGUUCAGUUCUAAAAAACAGGGACACAAAACUUUUUUAAAGCAAAGCAUGAGGUAUGGCGGGGUCUUCCUGAAGUCUUAGGUCAGUGGUAGUUAGGUAACCUGCCAGGCCAUCGCACAGCCUUGAGUCCCUCUUGGCACCUGGAAGCAGCAAAUUCAAAGAGAAAGCCUUUGGCUUUCUAGAACUGGCAGCCACCUCUCUGUCUAUGUUUCAGGACAACUUCUCUGCUAAAUGUGGUAAAGUUUGCCCUGGCUUCUUCUGUAUCAAGGCAGGCUUCAUCCUGGCAGUGGUAUGUAGAGGACAAGGCCUGUUGUUUCCCAC
rnacentral:lncRNA from 1 species